rnacentral:rRNA from 1 species
UACGAAGGGGGCUAGCGUUGCUCUGAAUGACUGGGCGUAAAGGGCGCGUAGGCGGUUUGUUUCGUUAGGCGUGAAAUUCCUGGGCUCAACCUGGGGACUGCGCUUAAGACAAGCAGACUGGAGUGUGAAAGAGGGUCGUGGAAUUCCCAGUGUAGAGGUGAAAUUCGUAGAUAUCGGGAGGAACACCGGUGGCGAAGGCGGCGACCUGGGUAGAUACUGACGCUGAGGCGCGAAAGCGUGGGGAGCAAACAGG